UGCUGAAAACUGUGCCAGAGAUGAAUAUACCAUCAUGACUCCGGUUGUCAUCCUGAGCAGUGGUAGCAGCCGAUCAAAUGUAGUAAAUAGUUGGAUUUUUCUGUAGUCACAUCCCAUCCUUCUACUCACCUAACACGGGUCACAGAAACAUGAAAUGCAAAAACCUUUUUGAUCAGCUUCAAGAAACAGCCCAGAAGAAGAGCACAUUAGUGGCAAGCAUACACAUGGAGAAUGGAAAAAUUGGCAAAGAAUGUGACCCAGAUUCCUUCAGAAGAUUGCUUAGGAAUCCAAUCUAA